AGAAUGAAAUAUAGUGACAUACAUAAAAUUGUGGGACAAUGGAUCUCACCCCUUAUAGUGUGAUGUUUCACUUCAUCUCAAUAUGCUUAAACAUAAGGAGCUUAAUUAUUUUGAGUUUGUUUACUAUAUUUUUACAGCGACUAAUCAUCUUAGCAAACAGUUGAUUCCGAGGAAAGUGAAAGAAGCAAUCAGUUGUGUGUGAUUCAGUGAAGCAAGCGAUCUAGUGAAGAAGGAAUAA
rnacentral:lncRNA from 1 species